rnacentral:lncRNA from 1 species
GGCCCCGCGGGGGGUGACGUGAAGCUUGGCGCUGUGUUGCAACUUGGUCGGUUGGCGGUUACCUCUAGCCAUUAUAGAGAACAACUAAAAGGAAGUCUGUGUUUGCAGAGGCCCAAACUUGGAGAACCUUGCAUUAAACCCGUAUCUGUGAACCCAAGGCGGAAGACAGAGAUGGCAGACUCAAGCAGCCCCAGCUCCUCCAGCCUGAGUCCUAGACGCAGAGAUCUGUGGAGCAGCCCCCCCAAACCUACCACCCAGGGCAGAAUUGCUGCAGCCUACCUACCCACACACCCAUGAGUAAGAGGUGUUUGUUUGUGGUCAAUGUUGGAAGGCCCUGAGAUUUUUUCUCCCCCUGCUGAAAUAGCUAAUUCACAGAUGACAGAAUCAAAAGUCUAAAGUAUAUUAGGGUAGAAUGUUGCUGUGCUGAAACCAACUA